rnacentral:rRNA from 1 species
UACGUAGGGACCAAGCGUUGUUCGGAUUUACUGGGCGUAAAGGGCGCGUAGGCGGCUUGACAAGUCACUUGUGAAAUCUCUGGGCUCAACUCAGAGUCUGCUGUGGAAACUGCCGUGCUUGAGUGUGGGAGAGGUGAGUGGAAUUCCCGGUGUAGCGGUGAAAUGCGCAGAUAUUGGGAAGAACACCAGUGGCGAAGGCGGUUCUCUGGGACGGUACUGACGCUGAGACGCGAAAGCGUGGGGAGCGAACAGG